ensembl:lncRNA
GUGCGCAAUGUAGGAAAUGCUGAGGAAGGAAAUUGAUGCGCUCUAUGCGUGGGACAUGUGUGUCGUUUUUAGACGCAACUGAACUGGCCGUUCCCAGUGUGCGAUCUGUGGUUUCUUGAACAUCUUGUGGAGUUGUAACAGUUAUGUCAGUUUCUUCUUCGGUACAAAUCCGCUUAAACGCAGUGGGUUUGGUACUUCUUGCGUGCAAUGUGGUGUGCAUUGCCUGGUUUUUGCUGUCAAAGGAAUCCCUGAACGUAUCCAGAGACGACAGCCACACUGAAGUGUUAGGCCCAGUGAGAUGGGAGCAGGAGCACAACCCCAGGGGCAUGUCCUUGGACCCGAGCAAGACUCGGAUCGCCGUGGACGACGACGGAAUUUAUGUAGUGUUCGUGCAGGCCGUCUUCAUUCUGAGGAGCGGGAGCACGGACACUGGACAGACGGACAAAAGAGUCCGCCUACGGCUCCAGCUCAACACCAAUGGCACUGAUGGGAUCCCCGAGGACCAGUUGGUUGCAGCCUGGGACGAACGAGAGGUUAAGGACGUUCACGACGAGCAGAUAGUGCAUCUGAGUUUCAUGGUGCUGCUGGAGCUGAAGAAAAGCCAGUACAUACGCGUCAUGGCCAAGCACCGGGACAAGCUGGACUACAACACACCACUCUCCACGUUCCUAACCAUCGUCAAGCAUUCCGAUUUGCAGGACUAAAGCGUGCUCUGAAUGUGUUGCCUGUUUUGACAGAAGUCCUUUUUCUCAAUCGCCAUCUGUCCAUUUUGACCCUAACCAACCUGCUCACAGGGUAAGGGUCAACCAGCUUCCAGCGCACUAUCAGCACUAUCCUACCUUAGCAUCAAUGGGCAGAUUUGCUUACGUUGCCCCCUCUUGUGCAGUGAACCAUUAGUUAUCUGUGGUUGAAAGUUCCUAGAAAUGCUUUGGGUGUCUUUUUUUUUUUGCGACUCCCGCUCAGUGGCUGUGUCGCAUGGGCCAGAGUGUGGAAAAUUCUCCACUUGCAUGGUUGCGACCGUAUUGCAUAACAGCUGCGAGUUUACUGUUCACAGAAUGCCCGUAGAAAACAUCAGCGCCAACAUCAGGAACUGCCACAUGCCUUUGUUCUCGUCACUGCACACUUUACAGCACUGGCCCUUUAGCCAAUCCUCUUCUGUUAUCGGGUACGAUGGAAGGUUUAGUGUCCUGAAUUAUUAAUAUGCAUUGUCAGUCUAGCGAUGAUUAGCUCUACUUAUUAUUUUUAUGGCACUUCCUGGUAUUUUAACACACAUUUAUAGCAAUAACAUUAAAUUCUCACACUUUAUCUUUCAGUCUUCAUUCUUUUUUGUAUUAUGGUUCAUUCAGAUUUAAACAAGCUAUGUUGAGGGGAAUCUUCAAACUAAAUAUAUGUACAGAAGUUUAUGUAUAUGAACAUAUUGUAAGUUGUGUUUUUGUAAUUUAUCUGGACAUAUUUUUUGGCCUUUUGUUCUUGGUGUCUGUUCUGUGCUAUCACACUGCUGGUAAAGAAAGCCUUGUUCUAUGUGUUUCUGAAUCAUGUAAGCCAGUAACUGGUACACAUAACAUUUAAAUGUUGCUCUGAAAGCAACCAAUCGUAUGUAUGCUAACUGAAGUGGGCCAUUUCAAAAUCAGCAGGUAGAUGAGGGUAAUUUGUGAAAAAGCGACCCUCUUGAAUUCAAUUUUUGUAAAUUUAGUUGAACAAAAAAUACACAGUAUUUAACUUUCUGGGGAUGAGUUCUUGAUCGUGCUGACAAAAAUCUGUCAAACAUCUGGGCACUUUCCUCUCAGCUAAGGAAAUAAUUGCCACAAAGCUUCCACUGGUCGUUAAUUGUGUGUAACAUGUUUCACAUCAGGUUUAAUAUCUGAAUAUAUGAUGCCUGUAACACAUAGCAUACAUUAUUAUGGCAAAGGAGUGAAAGUGUGAACUCUCUUGUGUGAGAAAAUCUCUUGUAAUGAAGUCAUGUUUUGUCUGGAUUUAGUUUCAGUGACUCACAACUUGCCACACUCUUCACUUGGACCAGAUAUCUGUGUACUGUAUUCUGCAGGCAACAUAGUUUGUUGAAUGUAUUUCUAUUACCAAGAACCACUGCUAUGGUAAUAUGUUUGUAAUUAUCUAUUUAUAUCUAAAUUAAAAAGCUGUAAUAAGUUUACUAACUGUAAUAAUCUAUUGUCAUGCUGAUUCAGUGCAGUAUUUAUGUAUUUAUGCUCCAAUAAAAUAUUAACAAUAUAGCCCUUUUGUGCCACAGGUGUGAGUAUGUGUUUAUUGUGUGGUAAUGUUAAGAGGGGAUAAUUAACUUAAUGGCUUAGUUCUCAGUCCUCAUAUAGUGUUGGAGGGAAAGGGG